CUCCACCUCUUGCUUCUAUAUAACUCAUCUCAUAUGUCUCUAUAAAAUCCCACUAAAUUUUAUGUCUUGCUAAUCUUAAGUUUUUUAAGGAAAAACAAAAAACAAAUAUGAGCUAUAAUACAAAGUUAGUAGUUCUCAUUUUUCUUCUUUUCACUAUCACCUCCACUGAUGUAUCAAACGCCACCCCUCGUCAUUUUGUGAAUCUCAGGUCGGAGAAGGAGGAUGUCAAAAUAAAGGAGAGAGAGCUUGUGGAGUUUCAUCUAGACUAUGCAAGAACAGGAGCCAAUCAAGAUCAUGAACCAGGGAAAGGAAGACCAUAAAAGUUAACUUAAACCAAUUCAAAAAAUAAUCCAUAAACGUAUAUAUACUAUUUUUACCAAUAUGCUUUUUGUACGUGGAAAAAAUCAUGCAUACAUAUAUGAUGUAAUGGACCAAGCUUUUGGGAAAUAUUAAAGUUUUUUUUUUUUGUGCAAAAGGGAAAUAUUAAAGUUAUAAAAGAAAAAGAUAUGUAUGCAUGCAUAUAAAUUAAGGUUUUAUCAUGUGAGAUAUUGAUUUUAAGUCAUUGACAUU